rnacentral:lncRNA from 1 species
UUUGUUUAAGUAUUUUAAAGUAUAGUUUUGCAUUCUUUGAGUCUAGUUUAGUGUUUUAAAUUUUAUUUUUAUGUUUUUAAGUCAGUUUUCAAGUGUUUAGCAAUCCCUCCUAAUCCUCGGCCUAGAACGAUCCCUACUUACAUACUUUACUACAUUUGAUAAAAAGAGGGUUUAAUUUGUGUGCUUAUAUAUUUCGCAUCAAAUUUUGGCGCCGUUGCCGGGGAUUAGCAACUUUGCUAAUCUCUUGGAUUGUUUUCUUU